UACAGAGGGUGCGAGCGUUAAUCGGAAUUACUGGGCGUAAAGCGUGCGUAGACGGUUAUUUAAGUCGGGUGUGAAAGCCCCGGGCUCAACCUGGGAAUUGCAUUCGAGACUGAAUAGCUAGGGUACGGUAGAGGGAAGUGGAAUUUCCGGUGUAGCGGUGAAAUGCGUAGAGAUCGGGAGGAACACCCGUGGCGAAGGCGGCCAACUGGGCCGGACCUGACGCUGAGGCGCGAAGGCGUGGGGAGCGAACGGG
rnacentral:rRNA from 1 species